rnacentral:rRNA from 1 species
UACGUAGGGGGCAAGCGUUGUCCGGAAUUAUUGGGCGUAAAGAGCUCGUAGGCGGUUUGUUGCGUCGGCUGUGAAAUCCCGAGGCUCAACCUCGGGUCUGCAGUCGAUACGAGCAAACUAGAGUGUUGCAGGGGAGACUGGAAUUCCUGGUGUAGCGGUGAAAUGCGCAGAUAUCAGGAGGAACACCGGCGGCGAAGGCGGGUCUCUGGGCAACAACUGACGCUGAGGAGCGAAAGCGUGGGGAGCGAACAGG